rnacentral:rRNA from 1 species
ACAAGCGGUGGAGUAUGUGGUUUAAUUCGAUGCAACGCGAAGAACUUACCUGGUCUUGACAUCCCGGAGACCCUUAGGAACUAGGGGUGCUUCCAUCUGGAAGAAUCUGGAGACAGGUGCUGCAUGGCUGUCGUCAGCUCGUGUCGUGAGAUGUUGGGUUAAGUCCCGCAACGAGCGCAACCCUUGCCUUUAGUUGCCAGCAGUUCGGCUGGGCACUCUAAAGGGACUGCCGGUGUUAAACCGGAGGAAGGUGGGGAUGACGUCAAGUCCUCAUGGCCUUUAUGACCAGGGCUACACACGUACUACAAUGGCCGAUACAAAGGGCAGCGACACUGCGAGGUGAAGCCAAUCCCGUAAAAUCGGUCUCAGUCCGGAUUGGAGUCUGCAACUCGACUCCAUGAAGUUGGAAUCGCUAGUAAUCGUGGAUCAGCAUGCCACGGUGAAUACGUUCCCGGGCCUU